UACGUAGGAGGCAAGCGUUGUCCGGAAUUACUGGGCGUAAAGCGCGUGUAGGUGGUGGGACAAGUCUGCUGUGAAAGCGCCUGGCUUAACCGGGCGAGGUCGGCGGAAACUGUCCGACUCGAGGACGGUAGAGGGGGGUGGAAUUCCCGGUGUAGCGGUGAAAUGCGUAGAGAUCGGGAGGAACACCAGUGGCGAAGGCGGCACCCUGGACCAGCACUGACACUGAGGCACGAAAGCGUGGGGAGCAAACAGG
rnacentral:rRNA from 1 species